UACGGAGGGUGCAAGCGUUAUCCGGAUUCACUGGGUUUAAAGGGUGCGUAGGUGGGCAAGUAAGUCAGUGGUGAAAUCUCCGGGCUUAACCCGGAAACUGCCAUUGAUACUAUUUGUCUUGAAUACUGUGGAGGUCAGCGGAAUAUGUCAUGUAGCGGUGAAAUGCUUAGAUAAUGACAUAGAACACCAAUUUGCGAAAGGCAGCUAGGCUAC
rnacentral:rRNA from 1 species